rnacentral:rRNA from 1 species
GUAGUAGUGGGUGUAGCGUACCUACUAGCCUACGACGGGUACGGGUUGUGAGAGCAAGAGCCCGGAGAUGGAUUCUGAGACACGAAUCCAGGCCCUACGGGGUGCAGCAGGCGCGAAAACUUUACAAUGCUGGCAACAGCGAUAAGGGAACCUCGAGUGCCAGGUUACAAAUCUGGCUGUCGAGAUGCCUAAAAAGCAUUUCAUAGCAAGGGCCGGGCAAGACCGGUGCCAGCCGCCGCGGUAACGCCGGCGGCUCGAGUGGUAACCGUUAUUAUUGGGUCUAAAGGGUCUGUAGCCGGCCGGAUAAGUCUCUUGAGAAAUCUGGCAGCUUAACUGUCAGGCUUUCAGGAGAUACUGUCUGGCUCGAGGCCGGGAGAGGUGAGAGGUACUUCAGGGGUAGGGGUGAAAUCUUGUAAUCCUUGAAGGACCACCAGUGGCGAAGGCGUCUCACCAGAACGGACCUGACGGCAAGGGACGAAAGCUAGGGGCACGAACCGGAUUAGAUACCCGGGUAGUCCUAGCCGUAAACGAUACUCGCUAGGUGUCGGCCACGGUGCGACCGUUGUCGGUGCCGUAGGGAAGCCGUGAAGCGAGC